CGCGGUAAUUCCAGCUCCAAUAGCGUAUAUUAAAGUUGUUGCAGUUAAAAAGCUCGUAGUUGAAUUUCGGGAUCAAUNCGUCGGUCGUGCCUCCGGUAUGUACUGGCGUUGUUGGUUUCUCCUUUCUGAGGAGCCAUGAUGCCAUUAAUUUGGUGUCGUGGGGAAUCAGGACUGUUACUUUGAAAAAAUUAGAGUGUUUAAAGCAGGCACACGCUUGAAUACAUUAGCAUGGAAUAAUGAAAUAGGACGUUCGAUUCUAUUUUGUUGGUUUCUAGGAUCAACGUAAUGAUUAAUAGGGAUAGUUGGGGGCAUUAGUAUUCAAUUGUCAGAGGUGAAAUUCUUGGAUUUAUUGAAGACUAACUACUGCGAAAGCAUUUGCCAAGGAUGUUUUCAUUAAUCAAGAACGAAAGUUAGGGGAUCGAAGACGAUCAGAUACCGUCGUAGUCUUAACCAUAAACUAUGCCGACUAGGG
rnacentral:rRNA from 1 species